UCCUCUUUCCGCUGCCCCGAUGUCCCUGCCAGCGCCUCGCUCUGUACCUGUGGGCCUGUCGUGCCUGCCUCAACUGCUUCCCCCGGGGAGGCUGUGAUGUUCAGCACCCUGGCCUUCCCUUCGCCCUGGGCCUAUGGCCCUUCCUUCAGCCCUCCCUGCUGCUCCUCUCCUGUGGGUCCUCUGCGCGAUGGGGUGCUUGUCCCACCCAGGGUGACCCUUCAGCAGCCCCACACAGCCCCGGCCCCUGGGCUGCGUGCAUGUCUGCCGGUGGUUGGGCUGUGCGAUGGGAGGCGAGGUGAGGGACAGUGCUGUUGCUGGCUGCUCCCCCCCAAACGCAGAUGUUAGCUCUGCAGAAGAAGCAUCCACAGAGGAGGAGGGAAAAGGCUGAAUUCUUCUUUUAAAGCUAACUUCAAGGAGGCAGCUGCAUCUUGUAGCAAAGACAAUGCACCUAAAGAAGAAGAAGAAAAAUGAAAGAAUGAAUGAAACUAGUUUUCUACAGGCUGGCAGAAAGGUCAUGAUUGUUGGAUGGUGGAUUGGAUUCGAAGAGAUGGUGACUUGCCUUUCAGAAGCCCGAAAACUCAACAAAUCCAGUGAUCUGUACUGAGAAACUGGACAGCUGGAUAACAAGUGGUGUCCCAACGUGCUAGGAAGAGGGAUCCGCCCCUUAUGACCAGCACAUACUCCAGCUCCAGUAGCUCCAGCUACUUCUCUAAUCUCUCCGAAGGCUUGCUCCAUCCCUCACAUCUGCACAAUGAGUGCCUGGAGCGCUGCUGUG